CGGAGCUUAGGGAGGGGACGGUAUCGGGAGGGACCCAGGGACUGGGAGGCCGGUCGGGGCUGGGCUCAGGGGCCGAGACGGAGCGAGGGAUCCAGGGUGUGGGAAACGGGGAGGGGUUUGAGGAGGGGAUCGGAAUGUGGCUCAAGUUCGGGAGGCGUUACCUGCGGAGGGUUUGAGGCAGGCCCAGGAGCGAGCCCACGGUCUGCCGACGCGGGGCCAGGGGCGGGCCCCAGGAUCCGGAGCUUCGGGCGGGGCCAAGUCUGGGUUUGGGGCCCGGUAGGCGGGGCCAGUUAGGGCGAGGGUCCCUGGGAUGGUCGGGUCAGGCCUUGGGCUAACGUAGACACUCUCGCAGUACCUCCGCCUUCAGGAAGGUCUUUUUAGCAAGGGCCUUACAGGUGCGCGCUUCGGUCCGGGAGGCCUUAUCCUAACCUCCUCUCCAUCAGCGCCACCCGUCUGGGGCCCGAAAGGAGGGAGCUUUCCCUCUGUCCUCCAGCCUUUGGACUGUCUCCAAACAAGCCAUUCCUUCACCAAAUACUUAUUAAGCGCCUACCAUGUGCCUGACAAGGGAGAUGUAACGCUGUUGUUCCCCACCAGAACCAAAUGAGCGCAAGAUCUGACAAAGAAAAAAAAGAUGCAUCUUUUAUUCCCCCAAACACUUUCAUUUAAAUCAAGAAGGUGGGAUGUGGUUAUUGCUGUGUUUUUAGACAGAAUCAACGGUUUCUGGGUCUGAGAUGUUGCAUACACCCUCUCAGUCCCUGUAUCCUGAGAUGGAGUCACCUGAGGAUCCACAAUAGGGUCUCUCUCUCUGCCACCCAGGCCAGAGUGCAGUUGACGCAGGGCAGGGGAGCCCCGAAGUGGAGCAUAGUGUGUCCGGAACUGGUGGGUUCUUGGUCUCACUGACUUCAAGAAUGAAGCCGUGGACCCUCGCGAGAUGAGAUCUCGCUAAUUUGCCCGGGCUGGUCCUGAACUCCUGGGUUCAAGUAAUUCUCCUGCCUCAGCCUCUCAAAGUGCUGGGAUUACAGGCGUGAGACACCAUGCCAGGCUUGUGGUGAGUUUUAAAAUUUUCCAAUGUCUCAGUGUUUCUACCUGUAGAAUGCCAAAAAGUAGAUGGCAUCUUUGCGAGGAUUAAGCUGACUCGCUUUUUUUUUUUUUUUUUUUUUUUUUUGAGACAGAAUUUCUCUCUUGUCACCCAGGCUGGAGUGCAAUGGUGUGAUCUUGGCUCACUGCAACCUCUGCCUCCUGGAUUCAAGUGAUUCUCCUCUCUCAGCCUCCAAGUAGCUGGGAUUACAAAGCCAGCUAGCUUUAAGAUACAGUGUUGGGCAUCACAUUUUGGCAUGGAGCAGGCACUCUUUUCUUUGCUCUCAGGUGGGACUAAGCCACAACAAGCCUUCCCUGGUGUGUGCAGUGGGUGAUGAAUGCUUGCCUGCUCAGCACCCACUACAUGGUGGGCUGGGUCACAUUACUCUGACUCCCCCUUGAGCUUCAGUCCGUGCCUGGUUCAAGAUGUAUUGACUCAAUUCGAGGAUCCAGAGGUGGGAUGUGGCUCUGGCCUGGCCAGAGGACCGAAGAUGCUGCAUGGCAUGGCUACAGCAACUGGUUCAGCUUUGGGCUCAUGUCCUAGUCAGAGCCAAUGAGAUGUAAUCUUGGGAUAGCUGCUGGGCUGUUGGGAAGGGGACAGGCUGCCCUGCUCAUCCCCAUUCCUGAUGCUGAGGGAUCUGAGAAAAUCACUUGUAAAAUUUGGGGGUGUUUGGAAGACGGGGAGACUGAUGUCUCCUUCUCUCUACGGACAUCUGAUCAGCUACAGAGCUUGACUGACUACCCAGAGGCAGAAUGAUAUGGUGGUUAAAAGUGUGCCCUGGGCUGAGAUCUUGCCACUGCACUCCAGCCUGGGUGACAGAGUGAGACUCCGUCUCAAAAGAAAAAAAAAAGUGUUCUCUGGGCUGGACGCGGGAGCUUAUGACUGUAAUCCCAGCACUUUGGGAGGCUGAGGCAGGAGGAUCGCUUGAAGUCAGGAGUUUGGGAUCAGACCCUAUCUCUAGAAAAAUGUUUUAAAAAUUAUCUGGGUUGGUGGUGAAUGCCUGUAGUCCCAGCUACUCAGGAGGCUGAGGCGGGAAGAUUGCUGGAGCCCGGGAGUUCAAGGCUGCAGUGAGCCAUGAUCAGGCCACCGCACUCCAGUUUGAGGCACAGAGAGAGACCCCAUCUCCCUAAAGAACAAAAAAGUGUGCUCUGGUGCCGCACUGCCUGGUUAGAUCCUUUGUCCACCACUUAGAUGCAUGUUAUAUAAAUGCUCUCCUCAGUUUCCUCAUCUGUAACUUGGGGAUGAUAAUGCUGCCCCAUUAAGUGGUUAUGGGGACUAAAUGCAUGUGGGCACAUUGGUAAGUAUUCAACAAGCUUGAUUUUUCCUGGAGAGGGAGAAAGAGCGUACAGUGAAGUGGCAUGGUCAGGUGCAUUGGGGCAAGGAUUAUUUCCUCUGGCUUCUGCCUCCUGGGAGGUACUAAGGAUGGAUCUGAAAUGUGUCUGCAGACCCCAGAGUUGGGGACUGCAGACGGAAAUUGAGAUCAGGGAUCCCAGUCUGGCAGAAAUGGGUGCAGCAAGAGGCAUUGGGUUCCUUCCAUCAGAGGCAUGGGUUGUGUUGCAGACAGUCAUGAGAUGUGGCUGAAUCUUGCAAGGGAGCUGCAGUCCUAGGGUUGCUGCUUGAGACAAUGACUGCUGUCAGUGGAAUCUGGUACCUUCACCCUUCUGUGUCAGGCUGCAGACAGCAAGAGAUGGCAGGAGGUUACACCCAACAGGAAAAGGGCCAUUGCUAUCCCACAGGUUGCCAUAGGAGGAGAUGACACCUCUUCCCUCUCCUCCUCCAGCAGUGUCAGCUGGGGAAGAGGUGGGUGGGGGUGCACAAAAGAGUAGACUGCAGACCAUACUCCUUCUCCUCCAGUCUGCUGGGGCCCCAAGAGAGUCUGCAGCCCUUGGCCAGGGACUGGCUGAUACAGGAGAACAGAAGAUCUCAGGCUGCGAUAACAUGGUGGUGCAGCUGAUCCUCUGGAACUCCCUGUGAGAUCAGACUGGAGCCAGUCUCCAGCUGAGACCACAUCUCACUUAGCUCCUUCCCUGCCAUAUCCUGUUUUCCUUACUCCUAUCUACUGAGAGUCCUGAAUGAAUUACAUACACUCAAUCCCUGCCUCAGGCUCUGUUUUUAGGGAACUUGACCUAAGACAGAUAUCUUAGUACUAAAUACUUUGCAAGGCCUCAGAAGCUCUGCUAUCCACAGGCAGGUGAGAUAUUACCUUCCCUACCACCUGGCAGUCAUAGUCUAUGAUGCGAUUCAGCUUUGUGGAAGUGCUUCUGUAAAGAACUUCCCCCAACUUAAGAUGAUCUUAAUUUGCUUACUUGUUUACUGUCCAUUUAGCUGCUCUAAAAUGUGAGCUCCAAAUCAGGGGCCAUGUCUGGUUGGUUACCCAUUUCCUGGGACCUAGAACGGGCCUAGCUCAGAGCAUGUGCUCACUAUUGAUGGAAUGCAUGUUGAAAGAAUGCAUGAAUCUCAUCUCCUUUUGUGGGUGAAAAACUCAUCCUAUUCUCACUCCUGAUUAACUUUCUUUCUUUUUUUUUUUUUUUCAAAACGGAGCCAUGAUCUGUCACCCAGGCUGGAGUGCAAUGGUGCGAUCUCGUCUCGCUGCAACCUCUGCCUUCUGGAUUAAAGCAAUUCUCCUGCCUCAGCCUCCCGGGUAGCUGGGAUUACAGUUGCACGCCACCACGCCCGGCUAAUUUUUUGUAUUUUUAAUAGAGACAGGGUUUCGCCAUGUUGGGCAGGCUUGUCUUGAACUCCUGACGUCGUGAUCUGCCUGCUUUGGCCUCCCAAAGUCCUGGAAUUACAGGCAUGAGCCACCGUACCCAGCCACUCUUGAUUAACUUAAUGGAAAUAUUUACAGAGAUGCUUUCUCUUCUGGGUUCUAGCGUCUUAUCUGUAACCUCUGCAGGGGAGUCACUGAGCAGAAGGAAGCGAGUUGCCUGAGAUUCUUCAAAGCCCCAGCCCUUUUGGAGGUUACAUUGUUAUUCUCAGAGCCUUUAUGAUGCAUAAUAAAGACCUAGCUUGGACC